UACGUAGGGUGCUAGCGUUGUUCGGAAUUAUUGGGCGUAAAGCGCGUGUAGGUGGUUUGUUAAGUCGGAUGUGAAAUCCCUGGGCUCAACCGAGGAAGUGCAUUCGAAACUACCAAGCUAGAAGACGGCAGAGGAUGGUGGAAUUCCUAGUGUAGAGGUGAAAUUCGUAGAUAUUAGGAGGAAUACCGGCGGCGAAGGCGGCUAUCUGGGCCGUUCUUGACACUGAGACGCGAAAGCGUGGGUAGCAAACAGG
rnacentral:rRNA from 1 species